AGUGAACGCUGGCGGUAGGCCUAACACAUGCAAGUCGAACGGCAGCACAGUAAGAGCUUGCUCUUACGGGUGGCGAGUGGCGGACGGGUGAGGAAUACAUCGGAAUCUACUUUUUCGUGGGGGAUAACGUAGGGAAACUUACGCUAAUACCGCAUACGACCUACGGGUGAAAGCAGGGGAUCUUCGGACCUUGCGCGAUUGAAUGAGCCGAUGUCGGAUUAGCUAGUUGGCGGGGUAAAGGCCCACCAAGGCGACGAUCCGUAGCUGGUCUGAGAGGAUGAUCAGCCAGAUUGGAACUGAGACACGGUCCAGACUCCUACGGUAGGCAGCAGUGGGGAAUAUUGGGCAAUGGGCGCAAGCCUGAUCCAGCCAUACCGCGUGGGGGAAGAAGGCCUUCGGGUUGUAAAGCCCUUUUGUUGGGAAAGAAAAGCAGCAGGUUAAUACCCCGCUGUUCUGACGGUACCCAAAGAAUAAGCACCGGCUAACUUCGUG
rnacentral:rRNA from 1 species